rnacentral:rRNA from 1 species
AGAGUUUGAUCCUGGCUCAGAUUGAACGCUGGCGGCAUGCCUUACACAUGCAAGUCGAACGGCAGCACGGGAGCAAUCCUGGUGGCGAGUGGCGAACGGGUGAGUAAUAUAUCGGAACGUGCCCAGUCGUGGGGGAUAACGUAGCGAAAGCUACGCUAAUACCGCAUACGAUCUAUGGAUGAAAGCGGGGGAUCGCAAGACCUCGCGCGAUUGGAGCGGCCGAUAUCAGAUUAGCUAGUUGGUGGGGUAAGGGCCCACCAAGGCGACGAUCUGUAGCUGGUCUGAGAGGACGACCAGCCACACUGGAACUGAGACACGGUCCAGACUCCUACGGGAGGCAGCAGUGGGGAAUUUUGGACAAUGGGCGCAAGCCUGAUCCGGCAAUGCCGCGUGCAGGACGAAGGCCUUCGGGUUGUAAACUGCUUUUGUACGGAACGAAAAGGUCUGCCCUAAUACGGC